rnacentral:rRNA from 1 species
UACGGAGGGGGCAAACGUUGUUCGGAAUUACUGGGCGUAAAGGGUGCGUAGGCGGUUCGGUAAGUCUAGUGUGAAAUCUCCCGGCUCACCCGGGAAACUGCACUGGAAACUGCCGAGCUCGAGGAUGGGAGAGGCAGAUGGAAUUCCAGGUGUAGCGGUGGAAUGCGUAGAUAUCUGGAAGAACACUCGUGGCGAAGGCGGUCUGCUGGCCCAUCCCUGACGCUGAAUCACGAAAGCCAGGGGAGCAAACGGG